GAUGAACGCUGGCGGCGUGCCUAAUACAUGCAAGUCGAGCGAACAGACGAGGAGCUUGCUUCUCUGAUGUUAGCGGCGGACGGGUGAGUAACACGUGGAUAACCUACCUAUAAGACUGGGAUAACUUCGGGAAACCGGAGCUAAUACCGGAUAAUAUAUUGAACCGCAUGGUUCAAUAGUGAAAGACGGUCUUGCUGUCACUUAUAGAUGGAUCCGCGCUGCAUUAGCUAGUUGGUAAGGUAACGGCUUACCAAGGCAACGAUGCAUAGCCGACCUGAGAGGGUGAUCGGCCACACUGGAACUGAGACACGGUCCAGACUCCUACGGGAGGCAGCAGUAGGGAAUCUUCCGCAAUGGGCGAAAGCCUGACGGAGCAACGCCGCGUGAGUGAUGAAGGUCUUCGGAUCGUAAAACUCUGUUAUUAGGGAAGAACAAAUGUGUAAGUAACUGUGCACAUCUUGACGGUACCUAAUCAGAAAGCCACGGCUAACUACGUG
rnacentral:rRNA from 1 species